rnacentral:rRNA from 1 species
CCUACGGGAGGCUGCAGUGAGGAAUAUUGGUCAAUGGGCGAGAGCCUGAACCAGCCAAGUCGCGUGAAGGAUGACGGCCCUACGGGUUGUAAACUUCUUUUGUCAGGGAGCAAUUUGGUCCAUGCGUGGGCUUAGCGAGAGUACCUGAAGAAAAAGCAUCGGCUAACUCCGUGCCAACAGCCGCGGUAAUACGGAGGAUGCGAGGGUUAUCCGGAUUUAUUGGGUUUAAAGGGGGCGAAGGCGGAAUAUCAAGUCAGCGGUAAAAAUUCGGGGCUCAACCCCGUCGUGCCGUUGAAACUGAUGUCCUUGAGUGGGCGAGAAGUAGGCGGAAUUCGUGGUGUAGCGGUGAAAUGCAUAGAUAUCACGAAGAACUCCGAUUGCGAAGGCAGCAUACCGGCUCCAUACUGACGCUGAGGCACGAAAGCGUGGGGAUCGAACAGGAUUAGAUACCCGUGUAGUC